UAUUUUUCUUCAAAAUAACAUCCUUAAUUCAAGUCUGGACUUAAACUAAUGUUUGUUGUAAGUUGUAUGUUUGUUGUAAUGUUGUCACAAUUGCUUUAGCCAGUUUAUGAAAAACAUCUGAUUUUAGCAGAAAACUUGUGAAACGUACCGAUGUAACCUCUAUGCAAUAAUGCUAGGAAUAAAAAGUGGUAUCAAGACAUGCAUCAAGCAAAGCUUUUAACAACAUGUGUGUGGCAGAAAGAGCUUUGCACCAAAGAACGGUUGCUUUCCUGCUGCAUCGUCUGACUCAAAAAAACCUUUUGUGCGAGGAAACUUUAUAUAUUGUCUUAAUUUUGUUUAGAGUCAUUAGAAGUUGGUAUCUUGAGCUUUUUGGGUCCCAGAACUCCAGGUUGAUUGCAGAUUUGUUCAGAAAGUAGAAGUGAUAUUAUGAUGUAAGUACAGUUGAAGUAUGGUUCGGCACCAUUUUAACGUAAAGAGUUCAGGGACAGAAAUGACACCUUUAAAAAGAACAACAUUUUUCUUACCGACAGCCAACACCAGUCAACAUGAGAAGAAAGAAGAGGAAAUUAUUAGCAGAAGAAUGCUAUGAAUGAUUGUUUUUGUGGUUGCUAUCCUUCAGAUUAAUGGUUCAAAUAUUCAUAUCCAAUAAUGAAAUCAAUUAAUACAGUAAAUGGAAGUUCACCCUUCGGAUAGUAACCAGUUACAAAGAAGGUUCAUUCUACGGAAUUUGUAAACCAACCAAGAUAGAAUCAAACAGGCAUUGUGUGCUCAUGUAUAUCCCUGUAGACAGUCUGCUUCGAGCUGCGGGAAAAUAGCCUUGAGCUAACUGCCUUGUUUGUGCUACUGACUGACAGGUGUACAGGGAGAGGAAACGGAUUGUGGAGUGUAUUUGGCAAGAUGCCUGCAAUGCAUUGGAGGUGGCAGCUGAGGAUGAAUCUCACCUCUGUCCUUCCUUUAAUUGAGAAGCAUUGGGUCAGAAUUGCCACUUUUCGAUUAUAUUGUCUUAGCAUCUUUCCUGACGUUUCAUAUAUUAUGAUCAAACCAAAUAUGUGUAAUUCGUUGGAACUUUUACUUAAUACUCUUUAUGACUAUACAAUGCUCUAAAUAAAAAAUUGCAGAAAAUUCA